AUGUUGUGUGUCGUUCUGCUAGUGCUGCUGGCCGCCGGGUCCAGUGUCAAGGGUCAUCAGUUGACCCAGCUGACUCAGUCUUUGACCCUACGGUCUGGUGAGGAGUUGAACAUCAAUUGUCAGGUGUCUUAUUCGUUGAGUGAUCAGCACACUGCGUGGGUCAGGAAACCGGCCGGGAAAGGACUGGAAUGGAUUGGGAGCAGACGACACACUGGGGAUUAUUACCGCAAGGACUCACUGAGUAACAAGUUCAGUAUCAAUUUGAACCCCUCCAGCAAAAUCGUCACCCUAAAUGACCAGAAUAUGCAGCCUGAAGACACUGCAGUGUACUACUGUGCCAGAGCUGGUGUAGUGGUCUACUCACCUGACUUUGGUGGGCGCAGCGUGGUUUCAGUUCCCUCUCAGUGA